rnacentral:lncRNA from 1 species
UUUGUCACUAACCAGGAUAAUGUAAAAAAAAAAAAAAAAAAAAAAAAAAAAAAAGAAAUACAGCUAAUAAAUAAGGGGAGGCAUUUUGAGGGAAGGGAGCCACUCUUUUCCUCCAGAUCCGCACGCAGUCUCCGCCCUAGAACUAUAAAGCAACGAGAGAAAAGCGAAGCGGCGACCCCCCGGGUGUCGGAGGGGUCCCGGGAAUCCCGCGGCAACACUGCUGCCUGCGGGGAGCGGGGACACGGCCCGGUCCCGCCGCCCACCCCGUCCUACCCGCGUCCCCCCCGGCCCCGGAAUGGAUGGGGGCGGCCCCCGAGUCCGGGAGGUGUAAAGGGCGCGGGUGCGGCCCCGAGCCACGCUCCGUCGGGGCACGUCGGGGCGCGGCGGUACCCGAGCACCGGCAGAUCCGGAGCGGACGUGUCCCUGCCCCGUGUACCCAUCGGGCCGGACCCUUCCAGCCGAAGCGAUAAGAGAGAUCCUUUCUCUCAGGCGGAAAUAAAGCAGAAGAGCGAUGUUUCCGAGGCUGCACUUCCACCCGAGCAGCGCCUGCAGAGCGGGGGUUGCAUUUCCCCGCCCGGUGCGGGCUCGGGACGGCCACGCGUGGUUCCCGCACCACCACCUACGGCCGCCGCAGCGCAGCUUUGCUAUGAAACAACACAACGCGAUGCGCCUUUUACCGGCAGACCCGCCUUUCUGCACCCCGAAGGGAGAAAAGAAAGAAAAAGAAUAAAAAAUAAAAGAAAGAAACGGAGUGAGCGGAGCGGCUCCGGCUCCGCGGGUCGGCAGCGCUGCGGACGGGGCUCCAGCCCCGGGGUGCGACGGGGCGGGCGGGGGCACAGCACCUACCUUGUCCCCGGUCUACGAAACUCGUGAUGGUGUUGGCCGACUUGGAGGACUGGAAGAAGCUGGCGUUGAUGCCCAGUUUCUCGGCGACGGAGUAGGUCCUGAAGAGGGACAGCAUGUACUCGUGGGGCUCCGCCCGCGGGGGCGUCCGGCCCCCGGGCUGUGCCCCCUGCCGCGGCCGGCUCUCCCGGGGGGAUCGCGGAGCCCUGCGGCCCCGCCCGCCCUUGGCCAGCUCUGCGGCGGCGGGGAGGGAGGCCGGGCGGCAGCAAGGUAAAUCCCAGAGGAGGCCGGCGAGCAAGGCGGCGGAGAGCAGGGCCCGGCGCGCAUUCAUAGCGAUCGCGGCGGGGCGGCGGCGGCCCGACGUGAGGCUCCGGCGGCGGCCCGACGUGCGGCGGGGACUG